rnacentral:rRNA from 1 species
CCCUUAGAUGUCCUGGGCCGCACGCGCGUUACACUGAUGCAUUCAACGAGCUUAUAACCUUGGCCGAGAGGCCUGGGCAAUCUUGUUAACGUGCAUCGUGAUAGGGAUAGAUUAUUGAAAUUAUUAAUCUUGAACGAGGAAUUCCUAGUAAACGCAGAUCAUCAAUCUGCAUUGAUUACGUCCCUGCCCUUUGUACACACCGCCCGUCGCUCCUACCGAUUGAGUGGUCCGGUGAGGCUUUGGGAUCUGAGCGGAAAGAGCGUUUCGCUGUUUCUGCUCGGAAAACUCAGUCGAACCUUAUCAUUUAGAGGAAGGAGAAGUCGUAACA